UACGGGGGGGGCAAGCGUUGUUCGGAAUUACUGGGCGUAAAGGGCUCGUAGGUGGCCAACUAAGUCAGACGUGAAAUCCCCAGGCUCAACUUGGGAACUGCGUCUGAUACUGGAUGGCUUGAAUUCGGGAGAGGGAUGCAGAAUUCCAGGUGUAGCGGUGAAAUGCGUAGAUAUCUGGAGGAACACCGGUGGCGAAGGCGGCCAUCUGGACGAGUACUGACGCUGAGACGCGAAAGCGUGGGGAGCAAGCAGG
rnacentral:rRNA from 1 species